GACGAACGCUGGCGGCGUGCUUAACACAUGCAAGUCGAACGAUGAAAGAGGAGCUUGCUUCUCCGGAUUAGUGGCGAACGGGUGAGUAACACGUGAGCAACCUGCCUCUGACUGCGGAAUAACUACGGGAAACUGUAGCUAAUACCGCAUAUGCGCCGAAGAGGCAUCUGUUUUGGUGAAAAAGAACUACUGCCCGGGUAGUGCACGCGGCAUAUCAGCAUGUUGGAGAGGUAACGGCACACCAAGGCGACGGCGGCUAGCCGGCCUGAGAGGGUGACCGGCCACAUUGGGACAGAGACACGGCCCAGACGGCUACGGGAGGCAGCGGUGGGGAUUAUAGCAAGAUGGGCGGAAGCCUGAUGCAGCAACGUCGCGUGAGGGAUGACGGUCUUCGGGUUGUAAACCGCUUGUAGCAGGGAAGAAGCGAAAGUGACGGUACCUGCAGAAAAAGCGCCGGCUAACUACGUG
rnacentral:rRNA from 1 species